CGUGGGUAAUCUACCUCCGAAUUGGGGAUAACCCCGCGAAAGCGGGCUAAUACCGGAUAAUAUCUUUUAUAUUUCGGCAUUAAAGAUCAAAGGUGGCCUCUACAUGUAAGCUACUGUUUGGAGAUGAGCCCGCGUGCCAUUAGCUUGUUGGUAGGGUAAUGGCCUACCAAGGCUACGAUGGCUAGCUGGUCUGAGAGGAUGAUCAGCCACACUGGAACUGACACACGGUCCAG
rnacentral:rRNA from 1 species